GAUGAACGCUGGCGGCGUGCCUAAUACAUGCCAGUCGAGCGAACAGACGAGGAGCUUGCUCCUCUGACGUUAGCGGCGGACGGGUGAGUAACACGUGGAUAACCUACCUAUAAGACUGGGAUAACUUCGGGAAACCGGAGCUAAUACCGGAUAAUAUAUUGAACCGCAUGGUUCAAUAGUGAAAGACGGUUUUGCUGUCACUUAUAGAUGGAUCCGCGCCGCAUUAGCUAGUUGGUAAGGUAACGGCUUACCAAGGCAACGAUGCGUAGCCGACCUGAGAGGGUGAUCGGCCACACUGGAACUGAGACACGGCCCAGACUCCUACGGGAGGCAGCAGUAGGGAAUCUUCCGCAAUGGGCGAAAGCUUGACGGAGCAACGCCGCGUGAGUGAUGAAGGUCUUCGGAUCGUAAAACUCUGUUAUUAGGGAAGAACAAAUGUGUAAGUAACUAUGCACGUCUUGACGGUACCUAAUCAGAAAGCCACGGCUAACUACGUG
rnacentral:rRNA from 1 species